UCGAUUCAAUUUGUCUGCUCAUAAUCUUUGGAGAAUUUUUUCUUCAGGCAUAUGAGAAAGGAUUGAUGAUUGCGGUCAUACCAUUCACUUCAAAGAUCCUUGAACCUUGCCAGUCAAGUAUCGCAUAUCGACCUCCAAAUCCCUGGACCAUGGGAAUUCUAAGUCUACUUGCUGAAAUUUAUAAUCUUCCAAACCUCAAGAUGAAUCUGAAAUUUGAUAUUGAGGUGCUAUUUAAGAACCUUACUGUUGACAUUCUAAUGGAGUUGUCAGUUUUCUGGACAUCUGACAAUGAUUACUCAAAGAUAAACUAAUGCCAACUACUACCUUGCUUUCUCGUUUGGAACAUUUCUGUUUAUUUACAUUUGGAGUGGCUAGGGACCUAUGGCACAUGCAAAUUUUGUUCAAAAGAAGUUUAUUUGGAAGUAUGUAAGCUUAACAUAAAUAUAAGACGAUUGUUUUUAAAUUUUCUGAUGUGUCACAUUACUGUUUAUGUGCUAUAAUCCUACAAUCUGUCUAUUAGUUGUUGUUGUUGGUAAUUGAGCUUUACUUGUCCCGUGGCUGUCAAAGGGUUAAUGUUACUAAAUUCUUUCAAAUGCCUAAAUAUUUGUUGCCAGCCCAUGUAUGCCACUGGUGUGGUACCUGGAAAGGUGAUAAAAUAUGUAGUAGCUGUAAGAAAGCAAGAUACUGUUCUGAGAAACAUCAGGCACUGCAUUGGGGUACUGGUCAUAAAAAUGAUUGCCUCCAGAUAAUAAGUUCUUCCGCUGCUUCAAAUUCAGUUUUGCCAACUGUUGGAAAAGUUCCUGCUAACACUUCUUGGCCAAAAUUUGAGAUAAAAAUAGACUAUGAAGGUAUAUUUGAUUCCGAUAGUGGUGAUGAGAAUAACUCGAAGUUGUUGGUGAUGCAAAGACAUGGGAAACCUGAUGCUAUGAUGGAGUCAUGGAUGGAUCAAUUUGAGGUUUUGGGUCCAUUUUCUUUCAGAAUAACCUCUGUUGGACUUCUGCUUAUGCAUCAAUCAUUAUAUUUAUUUAAUGCUGUCUGGGUAGGCCGAUUCUGACAACAAAUGCUGGACAUCUUUUCAAGAGCGGGUCUCAAGAGCACCAAAUCAAGUGUUGAGGUAUUGUCGAGAACCAAAUGCUAAACCUCUCUGGGCGUUAUCUUCUGGGUGUCCAUCAAAUGUUGAUAUCCCAUCAUGUAGCUACUGUAAAGAUCCAUUAUGCUAUGAAUUUCAGGUUAGCCAAAGUUCAUAGAAAAGAGUAUUAAGUACUAGUGGCAUUGAGGAGAUCAACUAUAAAAAUAUAUUUCAUAAAUGUAUGAGUUGAAAAUGAUGUUCAUCUAUUAUUGUAAAUAUUAUUAUUCUCUAUAAAUUUGCCAAAUUUAGGAUAGUU